UUUGUUACUUUUCUCUAAGAAACUGUUAAUCUUUACUAGAAGCUAAAGAAUUGGAAGUUAGGACUUGAAUUUGGUGACUAGGUUACUGUUAUUUGAGUUUCUGCAGGAACUUUACUAUGGAAACUGUGAAUGAAGGGUGCUUAAAGUGCUUAAAAAUUAGUGGUAGAUGCUGGAAAUUGCUUGUAUGUGCUGAAAUAAUAGUCUGUAAGUGCUGAAACUGGGUUUAAUUUGCUAAAACUGAAGAUAGGUGCAGGAAACAUGAAUUAGAGGUGCUGAAUCUGUUAAUAGGUUGCUGAAAAACUGCUGUUUGGAUGCUGAAAGCGCUUAAAUAACUGCUGGAAAUCACUAGAAAGCACAGGGAAUAUGUUUUAUGUGCAGGGAAUUGAUAGUGAAUGCUGAAAAUAAGAAUUAUAGGUGCUGUAACUGUGCAAUAGUUGCUGGAAAUUAUUGUAUUUCCUGAGAACAUGCCUCAAAGUGCUGUGAUAUGUGUUUAUAGUUGCUGAAAAUAUGAGUUAGAUGCCAAAUUUGACUAAACUGGAUGAUGUGUUGUUGAGAAUUAGUAUAAAAGGGAAGUUGAAGCUUGUAGUGGCUUUGGUGCGGUUAUUCAAUACUUUGUUAUGAGAAUUUAGACUUUGUGCUCAUAUGUGUGGAUUAUAUGCUAGGUUUGGAGGCGACAACGAGCACCGCGACUCCACGUAGGGAGUGAGCUUGUGUUGGUUUUUCUUUUUGUUGGAGACCGAGUUUUGCAGGUAUAGGUCGGUGUCCACCACAGGUCGCGUUUUGCGUUUGUGACUCGCUCAAGGAGUGCGUGGUUGAGGCCUGUGGGAGUCUUUGUCUCCCGGCCGUUAGUUGAUAUUUGCUUAGUUUAGUUUUGGACAAUAGUUGGUUAUGUAAAGUUUAUUUCUUGACAGACUUCCGCUGUAGUUUGUAAAUGAAAGUUAUUUUGAGAUGUAAAUAAAAUGUGGCUGUUGAACUUCAGUUUU